GGGGGGAGAGAGAGAGAGAGGAGGGGAGAGAGAGGAGGGGGGAGAGAGGGGAAAGAGAGGAGGGGGAGAGAGAGCGAGAAAGAGAGAGGAGGGGGGAGAGAGGGGGAUGGAUAGAGAGAAAGUGGGGGGGAGAGAGAGGAGGGGGGAGAGAGAGGAGGAGUUACAGCUGAGAAGAUAAUUUCUGUGAAUAACUCAAGGGCCCCAUUCCAAUACUCUACAAAUACAUCCUUCCUUCCCACGGGUCCCAUUCCAAUACUCUACAAAUACAUCCUUCCUUCCCACGGGCCCCAUUCCAAUACUCUACAAAUACAUCCUUCCUUCCCACGGGUCCCAUUCCAAUACUCUACAAAUACAUCCUUCCUUCCCACGGGCCCCAUUCCAAUACUCUACAAAUACAUCCUUCCUUCCCACGGGCCCCAUUCCAAUACUUUACAAAUACAUCCUUCCUUCCCACGGGCCCCAUUCCAAUACUCUACAAAUACAUCCUUCCUUCCCACGGGCCCCAUUCCAAUACUCUACAAAUACAUCCUUCCUUCCCACGGGCCCCAUUCCAAUACUCUACAAAUACAUCCUUCCUUCCCACGGGCCCCAUUCCAAUACUCUACAAAUACAUCCUUCCUUCCCACGGGCCCCAUUCCAAUACUUUACAAAUACAUCCUUCCUUCCCACGGGCCCCAUUCCAAUACUCUACAAAUACAUCCUUCCUUCCCACGGGCCCCAUUCCAAUACUCUACAAAUACAGCCUUCCUUCUAUUCAUGCACAUCUCUCCAGGUUUCCCACGUUGAGCCAACAUUAUAACAUUACAUUAUAACACAUUGUCUUUAAAACACGUCAAAACCUAAGUUCUACUCUACAGGUGACAGUGAAGGGCAGUAAGGACCUUGUUUACACAAAGCUCUUGGAAUGGGGGAGGAGGGGUGAGGGAGGAGGGACAGAGAUAGAGGAAAGGGGUGAGGAGGGACAGAGGGUGAGGAGGGGUGAGGUAGGAGGGACAGAGAUGGGGGAAAGGGGUGAGGAGUGAUGAGGUAGGAGGGACAGAGGGUGAGGAGGGGUGAGGGAUGGGGGUGAGGGCAGGUAGAUGUACAGACAACAUACUUUUUUUUUAAAGAGUUUCAGGUGAGAAAGAUGAGAAGAACAGGAAGUGACAGACUGGUAGGGAGUGGGAAAGAGAAGAAGGACAGGAAGUGACAGACUGGUAUGAAGAAGUAAAAGAUGAGAAGAACAGGAAGUGACAGACUGGUAUUAAGGAGUAAAAGAUGAGAAGGACAGGAAGUGACAGACUGGUAUGAAGAAGUAAAAGAGAAGAAGGAAGCACCAAUUAUAUAACAUAUACCAUCUAAGAGUUAAAU
rnacentral:lncRNA from 1 species